AUAAACAAGUCCCAGUGCAAGUCAGCGCCGCUGGCGACACAAUCGAAUUGCGGGGACGCUUUAAAGCUCAGUGGUACCAACCCUCCGGAUGCCGGAGGGGGCGGGCAAUGCCCGAGGUCAGAACCCACCGAGAUGUACAAUAAGCAAUCCGCAGCGGCCCGUUUGGACCGUCCACAGACUAAGUGGUUGUGGGGAGCCCCAGCUCCUUAAGAUAUAGUCGGGCCCGGUGAGCAGUCACCGGGGGUUCUGCGUCCGUAGGUGAACCUGCGGAAGGAUCAUUACAAGUGAGGCUACCGAACGUUGGAAACAGCGGUUAGGAGCUUACACCCACCCGUGUUUACAUACUAUUGUUGCUUUGGCGGGCCGUGGCCUCCACUGCGGGCUCUGCUCGUGUGUGCCCGCCAGAGAACCAAACUCUGAAUGUUAGUGAUGUCUGAGUACUAUCUAAUAGUUAAAACUUUCAACAACGGAUCUCUUGGUUCUGGCAUCGAUGAAGAACGCAGCGAAAUGCGAUAAGUAAUGUGAAUUGCAGAAUUCAGUGAAUCAUCGAAUCUUUGAACGCACAUUGCGCCCUGUGGUAUUCCGCAGGGCAUGCCUGUUCGAGCGUCAUUUAACCACUCACGCCUAGCGUGGUAUUGGGGCACGCGGUCUCCGCGGCCCUCAAAAUGAGUGGCGGCGCCGGUGGGCUCUAAGCGUAGUACAUACUCCCGCUAUAGAGUUCCCCCGGUGGCUCGCCAGAACCCCC
rnacentral:rRNA from 1 species